rnacentral:antisense_RNA from 1 species
AAAUGGGGGCUCACCAGCUGCCCAUGGAUGGAGUGGGAGGAGGCCCCCAGUCUCCAGGAGGCUCCAUGCCUCAGGGUCAGACCGGCAGCUCAGGAACCCAGUUAGCAGGACGAACUCCAGCAGAGGAACUCAGCGCCAUUGCUGCGGCUGUCGGCCAGAAGAGAAAGAGAAAGAGAAAGAGAAUCCGCCUCGGUGUGACAACCCGAGUAGCAGGAGAGUGGGCAGCAGGGGGUGUCUGGGAGCAGAGAGGGGCUCAGGCCUGCUGGGUGGAGCGGCACUGGGGGACACAGGUGGGCCCUGCGGGAGGCAGGAGUUGUCCAGGCAAAGCCGAGGGGAAGGGCCGGCGUGAAGGAGGCGCCUGAUGGGAGGGGCGAGUUCUCCCCCGCACCGUUCCAGUCCACUCUGGGUUUCCUGUAGAAGGGGGAGCCCCCCCAAAGUCCAUCUGUGUUUCCCCACCUCACUCACACACUCAAGGACCCUUGGCUGCUCCCCGUGGCGCUGACUGACAUUUUUGCCGAAUAAAGGGGCCCUGUGGGUUUCCUGUUCCCAUCUCAGCUUCUGCUGAACAGGGUAAACUUCCCUUCCAAAUAAAACCGCCAGAUUGCGGUCUGGCCAGUUUCAGUCACAGGCCCACCAGGCCUGUGUCCCUGUGUGAGGGGGUGGGAAAAGCCCAGAGCGCCCCCACCCGUCCCCUGGGAGGGGUGGAAGGGCAGCUCUUGCUCCCCCUGCAGAGACGCUGCUCGGACUGGGAAGGCUGCCAGCCUCGCCCGGUCUCCCUGUGGACCCUGCCCUGACCCUGCUCCCUGCACCCCACUGGGCUUCCCUGCCCCACAGAGCCUGGUGGUGGGGAGACCUCUGGAUGGAGACAGCCCAUAGCCCUGGAGCCCCAAGGCAGGCACCAGUGAGUCCCUCGUGACAGCCUUGCUCCCCGCAUCACAUGGAACCCCGUGACCCAUGUGAGGGCACCAGUGCCCCCGUGGCCCCUUCCUACUGCUGGACGUGGUGCAGCCAAUGGAAGCCCAGGUCUGUCACGCGCCGCCUGUGCUUGCCCAGAACAGGUCCCGGUCACCCCCUCUGGCACCGCCCCCUCCACACCAGGAACCCCCACCUCCAGCAAGCCGAUCUGCCGACGCCUGGCCCAGGACUGCCCCCUGCCCCUCCUGGUCCUGACUUCAGCCAGGUGACCCCCUCCAGGGUCCAGCCCUGGGCCCUGGGGGACUCAGUGGCAUCUGGUGGAAAGGACCUUGGGGAUCGUGCCCACCCUCACCUGCAGGAGAGUUGGCAGGGUGGCCAGCCACAGGAAGCUGUGGCAGGAACCUGGGGACCUGCAGCCCUACUAGAAAGUGUGCAGCCCUGCAGGCCGGCACUGGAGAGGGAGCAGGCAGGGGUGAAGUUAGGCAGGCUGUGGUGUGUGGCACCAUCCUGUGGGGCCAAGCGUCCCGAGCUCCAGAGGCAGGUGCACUCCUGGCCACCAUCCAGGGUGGACAAGCCCAGACCCCAAUACUCUGAGGCAGGGUGGGGGACCAGGUGGCACCCAGUGGAGGAAAAGCCCCCAAGAGACAUGCAGGAGCAUGGACUCCCGCCCCACAGCUGGAGCCUGGGAGAGGAGCCCCAUCUGCUGUUUCCCUGGUGCACUCACAUCCUGGCCCUCAGUGCCCCCUACCAGGAAUGCCCCCCACAUGCAGAGCCACAUGGGUCUUCCAAGGAAGAAGAAGGGGGCCCCUUGCAUCCUCCACUCCCGGGUGCCCCAGGAGUGCAUGGGGGCUCCAGGGUACAGGGACAGCACAUUCCCUCACCAACUGCCCAAGAACGCCCAACCUCCAAGAGCAGACACAACGCCUACACCUGCUGGUACAGGCCUCCAACCCCACUUUCUCAGAUACGUCCUCAAGAGUCAUCUCAUCCACCCCACCCUGGGCAGGAGGGAAACUGAGGCAUGGCAAGAGACAAGACUAACACAGCGUGGCCUCUCCCGGCACCAGCACCACCAGGCCCCGUGGAGGACACCAGGGUAAUCAGGAAGGAAAUUAGGCAGCCCAAGGAGGCAGGAGACAAGGCCCCCCCCCAGCCCCCAGCCAUCCCCACCAAUGCGGUUGCCCACAGGAUAUCACUGCCCCCAUCCCGGGGCCCACCAUUACCAGUAGGGAGAGGGAGGCAGAGGGAAGCUGGGGUCCAACGCUGGUGAGUGGGGAGGGGACGGGACACAGACCCGGCCGUGGCCCACCCCGAGAGGGGGGUGCAAACACCAGGCCCGUUCUGUGCUCUGGAGGCUUUGGACAGCUGUCAGGCUGGUUGGACGGUGUGCAGAGCAGACAGAGGCGUGAAGAGGAGGCUCCGGGGUCACCCAGGUUCAGCAGGGACAGAGCUCAGGGGGAAGGCACCUCCUGUCCUGGUUCAAUAAAUGGACCCCUGACCCUGGGAAAGGGACUGAGCCACCGGGAGGCCUCAGGUCACUGCACCAUGAAGGUGUGGGGAGCUGCGGGGGCCUCUGGGCUCCGAGCUGGGCAGGCACAGCGUGGGGACCACCUGCCGAGGGGAAGAAGCGUGCCAGGGUGGACGUCUCAGUGCACACACAGGAACAUGAAACGGCUGAGCCGGCCCAGAGAGGCAGCGGAGCAUGUGCGGGGCGGCCGGCGGAGGAGCAGCAGGGUGCCAGGCGGGAGCGCACGGCAUUCUCAGAGGCAGGUUCCAGGUCAAUACUAAGUGCUUUGAUCCAGGAGGUCCUAUUGGGACGUUUCAUCGAUACACGCACAUGCGAGGUGGAGGGUGGCCAGUGUGGGAUGUGCCCGGCAGCCUUCAUAGCAAAGGAGAAUUCUGGAACCAACCAAAGUGCCCCUCUGAAGGGAGCUGGUCCCGUCUGUUCCAGCCGCUGUGGAGUAACACGGCCAGCAGUUUCCCUCGUGCCACGAAAGCUCGAGACUGAAACUGAGGAUGAACUGUUUUCAGCCAGGGUCACCCCAGCCCUGGGGUGGAGGCCCAUUCAGGAUGGUCGAGCAGGUGUGGGCGUCCAGGCAGGUCCAGCAGUCCUGGGGGGCUGAGGAGAAGGAGGUCAGGGCUCAGGGAGGCAUCCGCAGAGGGACCUGGCAGGCAGAGCUCCGGAAGGGAGGGAACUGCACAGACAGAAAGCUCCAGAAGGCUGCCUGAGGGUCUCUGAGGCCUCCGGAGUCGGGCGCCAUGCAUGUGGAAGGUGGACUCUUCAGCAUGGGUGGGACCCUAGGGGGCUGUGGACCCCCGGCCCCUGGGACUCACAGGUGGGAGACAGGUCCUCUGCCACGCUGCUCACCAUGCUGUGCGUUAUCUCACUAUGAAAAGUCACCUAGGCCGAGCACGGUGGCUCGCGCCUGUAAUCCCGGCACUUUGGGAGGUGGAGGUGUGCGGAUCACUUGAGAUCAGGAGUUUGAGACCAUCCUGACUAACAUGGUGAAACCCCGUCUCUAGGAAGAAUACAAAAAUUAACUGGG